rnacentral:rRNA from 1 species
GGGGGAAAAUUAAUAAAAAUAAAAUUAAUAAAAUAAAUUUUUAAGUUAAAAAUAAAUAAUGGGGGUUAAAGUAUUUUUAAUAGAAAAAAUUUGAAAUUUUAUAGGGAAAUAGUAUUGUAAGAGAAAUUUGAAAUAAAUUAAAAAUUAAUUGAGAAAAAAGAAAAUUUAAUUUAUUGUAUCUUGUGUAUCAGAGUUUAUUAAAUAAUUUUUUUUUAAAAAAAAGUCUCGAAUUUAAAAGAAUUAAUUAAUUAUAAAAGUUAAUGUAACAUAAUUAUUUUAAAUAAUUAAUUAGAAAUGAAAUGUUAAUCGUUUUUAAAUAUAUCUAGUUAUUUUAGAAAAAAAUUUAAUUUUGAAUUUUAAUAAUUUUAUAAUUUAAUAAUGAUAAUUAUAAAAAUUUAAAUUUAAUAUUUUAAGGGAUAAGCUUUAAAUUAAAAAUUUAUAAUAAAAAAAAAUAAAUAUUAAAAUUUUUAAAAUUUAUAUUGUUUAAAAAUUAUAAUUUAUUAUAAGAAAUUUUAAUAAAAAUAAAAUUUAAAAUAAAAUAUAUUUAAAUUUAUAUAAAAUAAUAAUUUUUAAUGAAAAAAAGUUAUUAAUAAUGAUAAAAUUAGUAUAAAUAAUAUAAAAAAAUUAAAUUUAAAAAUUAAAAUUAAUUAAAAGGAAUUCGGCAAAAUAAAUAUUCACUUGUUUAUCAAAAACAUGUCUUUUUGAUUAUAAUUUAAAGUCUAAUCUGCCCACUGAUAAAUAUUAAAGGGCUGCAGUAUAUUGACUGUACAAAGGUAGCAUAAUCAUUAGUUUUUUAAUUGAAAACUUGUAUGAAGGAUUUGAUGAAAUAUAAACUGUCUCUUAAUUAUUAUUAAAAAUUUAUUUUUUAGUAAAAAAGCUAAAAUAAUUUUAAAAGACGAGAAGACCCUAUAGAGUUUUAUAUUUUAUUUAUUAUUAAAAUUAUAUAAAAAUUAAAAUUAAUAUUAAAUAAAAUAUUGUAUUGGGGUGAUAGAAAAAUUAAAAUAACUUUUUUUAAAAAUUAACCAUAAAUAAAUGAAUAAAUGAUCCAUAUAUAAUGAUUAUAAGAAAAAAUUACCUUAGGGAUAACAGCGUAAUAUUUUUUUUUAGUUCAAAUAAAAAAAAAAGUUUGCGACCUCGAUGUUGGAUUAAGAUAAAAUUUAAAUGCAAAUGUUUAAAAUUUUGAUCUGUUCGAUCAUUAAAAUCUUACAUGAUCUGAGUUCAAACCGGUGUAAGCCAGGUUGGUUUCUAUCUUUAAAGAAAAAAAAUAUUUUAGUACGAAAGGAUCAAAUAUUUAAAAUAAUUUUAAUAAAAGAAUGUUAU